GUCUUUUUGAAUUAAAUUUAAAGUCUGAUCUGCCCACUGAUUUAUUAAAUGGCCGCAGUAUUCUAACUGUGCAAAGGUAGCAUAAUCAUUAGUUUUUUAAUUGAAAGCUUGUAUGAAUGAUUGGACGAGGCAUAAGCUGUCUCAUUAGUUUUUUUUUGAAUUUUAUUUUUUAGUUAAAAAGCUAAAAUAUUUUUAAAAGACGAGAAGACCCUAUAGAUCUUUAUAAUUUUUUUUUAUUAUUUUUUUAGUUAAAUUAGGAUAUUAUUAAAUAAAUUAUUUUGUGGGGUGACAAUGAAAUUUAUUUAACUUUUGUUAUUUUUUUACAUUAAUAAAUGAAUUUUUGAUCCUUUAUUAAAGAUUAAAAAUUUAAGUUACCUUAGGGAUAACAGCGUAAUUACUUUGGAGAGUUCUUAUCAAUAAAGUAGAUUGCGACCUCGAUGUUGAUUAAGAUUAAUUUUUGGUCAGAAGCUAAAAAUAUUAAGUCUGUUCGACUUUUAAUUUCUU
rnacentral:rRNA from 1 species